rnacentral:tRNA from 1 species
GGGGGCGUAGCUCAGAGGGAGAGCGCCUGCUUUGCAAGCAGGGGGUCGUCGGUUCGAGUCCGACCGUCUCCA